CCUACGGGAGGCAGCAGUGGGGGAUAUUGCACAAUGGGGGGAACCCUGAUGCAGCGACGCCGCGUGGGUGAAGGAGUGCUUCGGCAUGUAAAGCCCUAUCGGCAGGGAAGAAGCAACACGGUACCUGACUAAGAAGCCCCGGCUAACUACGUGCCAGCAGCCGCGGUAAUACGUAGGGGGCGAGCGUUAUCCGGAUUCACUGGGUGUAAAGGGAGCGUAGACGGCCAUGCAAGCCAGGGGUGAAAGCCCGGGGCACAACCCCGGGACUGCCCUUGGAACUGUGCGGCUAGAGUGCGGGAGGGGCAGGCGGAAUUCCUGGUGUAGCGGUGAAAUGCGUAGAUAUCAGGAGGAACACCGGCGGCGAAGGCGGCCUGCUGGACUGCGACUGACGUUAAGGCUCGAAAGCGUGGGGAGCGAACAGGAUUAGAUACCCCUGUAGUC
rnacentral:rRNA from 1 species